GUAACAUUACUGGAUGAAAGCCCUGCCUCUCUCUCAUCAUUACGGUUCCGAUGACCGCUCCUGAUACACUAGUAUGUGUACACA
rfam:Bacillus manliponensis strain JCM 15802 contig3, whole genome shotgun sequence.